GAUGUAGAGAUCUGUUAAAUUCAUUUUAAAUCAUAUUCUGUUAAUGACAUUGUGCUGCAGCCUCAGACUGGGAUUAGUCAUUUUAAUUUCUUUCAGGAUUUCCCAGUGUGAUUGGCUGCAUAGAUGCACACACAUCCCCAUCACAGCUCCCUCACAUCAUGAACAGGAAGUCCAUUCACAGCAUAAAUGUGCAGAUCAUAUGUGAUGCUGCAUACAUCAUUUCUAAUGUGGAGGCCACGUGGUCUGGGUCUGUUCAUGACUCCAGGAUUUAUGGAGAGUCUAACCUGAGCAACAGACUGCAGCGUGGUCAGCAGCAUAAAGAUUUUCACAAUAGAAUUCUCUUGUCUCCCUCCUUUAAUAUGCUCUGAUGUAUCCACUAUACAUUACAGGAGAGUUUGAUGGCCUUCUGCUGGGUGACAGGGGUUACCAUGACAACCCAGGCUGAUGACCUCAUACCCUGACCCUGAACCAAGCCCCCAACAGAACUUCAACCGGACUCACUGCAGGACCAGAGCCCGGGUGGAGAUGACCAUAGGCCUGCUGAAAGCCCGUUUCCAGAGCCUACGUCUCCUCAGGGUGACCCCUGAGAGGGCCUGUGAUAUUACUGUGGCAUGUGUUGUUCUUCAUAAUAUUACCACUAUGAGAGGAGAGCAACACCCUGCCCUACAAACUGAAGACCCAGAUGAUGAGCCCAUCCACCUGCAGCUAUCCAGGACAGCAGAGCAGUCAGAGACACCGUAUGCAAUAAUCACUUUAGAGUUUAAGUCUCCAUCAUCACCACCACAGCAAAUAAAGACAUGAUACACAUUU